GCAAGUCGAACGAUGAAGCUUCUAGCUUGCUAGAAUGCUGAUUAGUGGCGCACGGGUGAGUAACGCAUAGGUCAUGUGCCUCUUAGUUUGGGAUAGCCAUUGGAAACGAUGAUUAAUACCAGAUACUCCCUACGGGGGAAAGAUUUAUCGCUAAGAGAUCAGCCUAUGUCCUAUCAGCUUGUUGGUAAGGUAAUGGCUUACCAAGGCUAUGACGGGUAUCCGGCCUGAGAGGGUGAACGGACACACUGGAACUGAGACACGGUCCAGACUCCUACGGGAGGCAGCAGUAGGGAAUAUUGCUCAAUGGGGGAAACCCUGAAGCAGCAACGCCGCGUGGAGGAUGAAGGUUUUAGGAUUGUAAACUCCUUUUGUUAGAGAAGAUAAUGACGGUAUCUAACGAAUAAGCACCGGCUAACUCCGUGCCAGCAGCCGCGGUAAUACGGAGGGUGCAAGCGUUACUCGGAAUCACUGGGCGUAAAGAGCGCGUAGGCGGGAUAGUCAGUCAGGUGUGAAAUCCUAUGGCUUAACCAUAGAACUGCAUUUGAAACUACUAUUCUAGAGUGUGGGAGAGGUAGGUGGAAUUCUUGGUGUAGGGGUAAAAUCCGUAGAGAUCAAGAGGAAUACUCAUUGCGAAGGCGACCUGCUGGAACAUUACUGACGCUGAUUGCGCGAAA
rnacentral:rRNA from 1 species